rnacentral:rRNA from 1 species
CCGUGUACGUACAAGCAGUGGGAGCCCCACCACUAAGCCAGUGGUGAACUCCACAUACGCAUCCUUUGCUGAGGAUACGGUUAACGGAGCGAAAGCGACGUUCAACCUCAAAAGAAGCAGAGGGGGCUUAGUGGUGGGGUGACUGCGUACCUUUUGUAUAAUGGGUCAGCGACUUAUAUUCUGUAGCAAGGUUAACCGAAUAGGGGAGCCGGAGGGAAACCGAGUCUUAACCGGGCGUUAAGUUGCAGGGUAUAGACCCGAAACCCGGUGAUCUAGCCAUGGGCAGGUUGAAGGUUGGGUAACACUAACUGGAGGACCGAACCGACUAAUGUUGAAAAAUUAGCGGAUGACCUGUGGCUGGGGGUGAAAGGCCAAUCAAACCGGGAGAUAGCUGGUUCUCCCCGAAAGCUAUUUAGGUAGCGCCUCGUGAAUUCAUCUCCGGGGGUAGAGCACUGUUUCGGCUAGGGGGCCAUCCCGGCUUACCAACCCGAUGCAAACUGCGAAUACCGGAGAAUGUUAUCACGGGAGACACACGGCGGGUGCUAACGUCCGUCGUGAAGAGGGAAACAACCCAGACCGCCAGCUAAGGUCCCAAAGUCAUGGUUAAGUGGGAAACGAUGUGGGAAGGCCCAGACAGCCAGGAUGUUGGCUUAGAAGCAGCCAUCAUUUAAAGAAAGCGUAAUAGCUCACUGGUCGAGUCGGCCUGCGCGGAAGAUGUAACGGGGCUAAACCAU